AUUGAACGCUGGCGGCAGGCCUAACACAUGCAAGUCGAGCGGAGCGGCCGACGGGUGAGUAAUGCCUAGGAGUCUGACUGGUAUUGGGGGAUAACGUCCGGAACCGGACGCUAAUCCCGCAUCCUAUCAGCUGAGCCUAGGUCGGAUUAGCUAGUUGGUGGGGUAAAGGCCUACAAAGGCGACGAUCCGUAACUGGUCUGAGAGGCUGAUCAGUCACACUGGAACUGAGACACGGGCCAGACUCCUACGGGAGGCAGCAGUGGGGAAUCUUGGACAAUGGGCGAAAGCCUGAUCCAGCCACGCCGCGUGUGUGAAGAAGGUCUUCGGAUUGUAAAGCACUUUAAGUUGGGAGGCGUUACCAACAGAAGAAGCACCGGCUAACUUCGUGCCAGCAGCCGCGGUAAUUC
rnacentral:rRNA from 1 species